ACGAACGCUGGCGGCGUGCUUAACACAUGCAAGUCGAACGGAAAGGCCCUGCUUUUGUGGGGUGCUCGAGUGGCGAACGGGUGAGUAACACGUGAGUAACCUGCCCUUGACUUUGGGAUAACUUCAGGAAACUGGGGCUAAUACCGGAUAGGAGCUCCUGCUGCAUGGUGGGGGUUGGAAAGUUUCGGCGGUUGGGGAUGGACUCGCGGCUUAUCAGCUUGUUGGUUGGGUAGUGGCUUACCAAGGCUUUGACGGGUAGCCGGCCUGAGAGGGUGACCGGCCACAUUGGGACUGAGAUACGGCCCAGCCUCCUACGGGAGGCAGCAGUGGGUAAUAUUGCACAAUGGGCGGAAGCCUGAUGCAGCAACGCCGCGUGCGGGAUGACGGCCUUCGGGUUGUAAACCGCUUUCGCCUGUGACGAAGCGUGAGUGACGGUAAUGGGUAAAGAAGCACCGGCUAACUACGUG
rnacentral:rRNA from 1 species